GCUACUACCGAUUGAAUGGUUUAGUGAGGACUCCUGAUUGGCGCCGCCGCCCCGACAACGGAGCAGCGGACUACCGAAAAGUUGUUCAAACUUGAUCAUUUAGAGGAAGUAAAAGUCGUAACAAGGUUUCCGUAGGUGAACCUGCAGAAGGAUCAAAAUUGGAAGAGCACAUGUCAGAACACCAGUCACGUGGAACUAUCGCGUUUGCUGUUUUUUGAUCGAUAAAAAAAUAUCAUCUCACUAUUCCGACUAUAUGUAGAUGUCCUCAUACUCACAU
rnacentral:misc_RNA from 1 species